rnacentral:rRNA from 1 species
UCAUUGGAAACUGGGGGACUUGGGAGCAGGAGGGGAGAGAGCGGAAUUC